GCGGACGUGGCGGAAUUGGUAGACGCGCAGCCUUGAGGAGGCUGUGGGAGCAAUCCUGUGGAGGUUCAAGUCCUCUCGUCCGCA
rfam:Candidatus Woykebacteria bacterium RBG_13_40_15 RBG_13_scaffold_46, whole genome shotgun sequence.